UCCCCAGCGCCAGCUUUCGGUGAGCCUCGGGCAUUCCUAGCUGGAGAGUUUGGCUGGGGGUCGCUACAGACUCUUCAGAGCGGCUGCAGCAGGACCUCAGGGUGAUCGCGGGACCGCGGGGCGGGGCGAGUGGUGGGAUCCUGGCCCGGACAGAGCCCCGGAAAGCCAGAGGGAAGGUCGGUGCCACUGUAGGUGGGGUCGCCGUCCCCAGAUGCAGCCGCUGCACUGUCGCCGCCAGGUUUCUCGGUCAAAUAACCCAGGCCUGAGUGUUUCAAACUCUUCAGGCCUCGGACCCCUGGACCAGCUAUGGAUGGACUAAUGAAAUGGACUAAUGUCUAAAACGCACACAUUUAGAUGUACACAUACUCUUACAAGGACAAAAGUAUGUGUCUACACACACACACACACACACACACACACACACGCGCGCGCGCGCGCGCGCGACUUUGCGAAUGUAUUCACGGAUUCCUAGGCCGGUACCUGGGUUCCCGGCUAAGGAAAGCUGCCCUGGUUAUUAUCUGGUCACCUCACCGGCUGCGCAAACGUGUCCACAACGGGUCCCUCCCCGAGAGGCCACAUCUCGCCUAAGGUGGAGCCAGCAGGUAUUUGCCUGUGGAAAACUGCAGUGGAUCCUGCCCCGUCUGCGUAGACUGCGCAGCUCGGAGUCAAAGAUUCGUUCUGGCCAGAGAGGAGGUACUAAGAGAGGUGCGACCUAGCCAAGAACGAGGUCGUGGAGAAAACCCUGUGGGGGCGGCGCUCACAUAUGCGGUGAUGAGGAGUUGUGAGGGCCCUGGGGUCGGCCCCGAAAAGUAGGGAUAACGGUCGCAGAGGCCAUACUGCUUCCGCCGGUCCCGAAUCCGCACUGCCAGGAGAGAUCCGGCCUUCAAACGCUGCUCCCAACGUUCAACAACGAAGUGCCCUGCGACCGGUGUGCGCAGUGGGCGGGCGCCUGCAUGGGUCAAUGUUGGAUGUACGCGCCCACCACGCGGUUGUACGGGUGGGAAUGUCACCCGUGGCUAGUGCAUGCUCUGUCUUUUCCUUCAGAAAACGACCUUCAGGAAUCAG
rnacentral:lncRNA from 1 species